CCUACGGGAGGCAGCAGUAGGGAAUUUUGCGCAAUGGGGGAAACCCUGACGCAGCAACGCCGCGUGAUCGAUGAAGCUCUUCGGGGCGUAAAGAUCUGUCAGUGGGGACGAAACCUGACGGUACUCACAGAGGAUGCACCGGCUAACUCUGUGCCAGCAGCCGCGGUAAUACGGGGGGUGCAAGCGUUGGCCGGAAUCAUUGGGCGGACGGAGAUCGUAGGUGGGACGUUAAGUCUGGUGUUAAAGGCGGAAGCUCAACUUCCGUAGGGCACUGGAUACUGGCGAGCUUGAGUGCGGUAGAGGUAAAGGGAAUUCCUGGUGUAGCGGUGAAAUGCGUAGAUAUCAGGAGGAACAUCGGUGGCGUAAGCGCUUUACUGGGCCGUAAUUGACACUGAGGAACGAAAGCCGGGGUAGCAAAUGGGAUUAGAUACCCUUGUAGUC
rnacentral:rRNA from 1 species